CGUCUGUUGACGUUGACAGAGAUUUCUCUCUGCUUUGACGCAUGGUGUAUUAAUGUAUUACUUAUUGUUAAAUACCUUUUCUUCAUCAUGCUCUGACGUUCAUACGUUGACGUCGUAGGAGCUAGGAGCUGAUAUUGGAGUGAAAAACAUCACAUAGAAUACAUUAUUUGCUGUUAUUUGAAUACAAUCCUACAUACGGUUCCUAACCUGAACGUAAUAAUUCAUUUUCGAGUAAUAAUUCGCUUCGAGUGAAAGUGGACAGAGGAAAAAAAAGAGUUUGAGACGUUUGCAUAUUCAUUGAGAAAAACUGGUAAUUAACAUUAUUUAAUCGUAUUGAAAGAGCUUAAAAUUAAAAGUCUGUGUCAUUAAUUUAAUCCUUGGUACACAUGAUUUCUUUUGUCAUUCGUGCAUUUCUUUUCUUUGAAAUGUUGGGAGCAUUUGGAUGAAUAAUGGAUUCUAUUCUUUUCUUUUUUU